rnacentral:rRNA from 1 species
GAUGAACGCUGGCGGCGUGCCUAAUACAUGCAAGUCGAGCGAACGGACGAGAAGCUUGCUUCUCUGAUGUUAGCGGCGGACGGGUGAGUAACACGUGGAUAACCUACCUAUAAGACUGGGAUAACUUCGGGAAACCGGAGCUAAUACCGGAUAAUAUUUUGAACCGCAUGGUUCAAAAGUGAAAGACGGUCUUGCUGUCACUUAUAGAUGGAUCCGCGCUGCAUUAGCUAGUUGGUAAGGUAACGGCUUACCAAGGCAACGAUGCAUAGCCGACCUGAGAGGGUGAUCGGCCACACUGGAACUGAGACACGGUCCAGACUCCUACGGGAGGCAGCAGUAGGGAAUCUUCCGCAAUGGGCGAAAGCCUGACGGAGCAACGCCGCGUGAGUGAUGAAGGUCUUCGGAUCGUAAAACUCUGUUAUUAGGGAAGAACAUAUGUGUAAGUAACUGUGCACAUCUUGACGGUACCUAAUCAGAAAGCCACGGCUAACUACGUGCCAGCAGCCGCGGUAAUACGUAGGUGGCAAGCGUUAUCCGGAAUUAUUGGGCGUAAAGCGCGCGUAGGCGGUUUUUUAAGUCUGAUGUGAAAGCCCACGGCUCANCCGUGGAGGGUCAUUGGAAACUGGAAAACUUGAGUGCAGAAGAGGAAAGUGGAAUCCCAUGUGUAGCGGUGAAAUGCGCAGAGAUAUGGAGGAACACCAGUGGCGAAGGCGACUUUCUGGUCUGUAACUGACGCUGAUGUGCGAAAGCGUGGGGAUCAAACAGGAUUAGAUACCCUGGUAGUCCACGCCGUAAACGAUGAGUGCUAAGUGUUAGGGGGUUUCCGCCCCUUAGUGCUGCAGCUAACGCAUUAAGCACUCCGCCUGGGGAGUACGACCGCAAGGUUGAAACUCAAAGGAAUUGACGGGGACCCGCACAAGCGGUGGAGCAUGUGGUUUAAUUCGAAGCAACGCGAAGAACCUUACCAAAUCUUGACAUCCUUUGACAACUCUAGAGAUAGAGCCUUCCCCUUCGGGGGACAAAGUGACAGGUGGUGCAUGGUUGUCGUCAGCUCGUGUCGUGAGAUGUUGGGUUAAGUCCCGCAACGAGCGCAACCCUUAAGCUUAGUUGCCAUCAUUAAGUUGGGCACUCUAAGUUGACUGCCGGUGACAAACCGGAGGAAGGUGGGGAUGACGUCAAAUCAUCAUGCCCCUUAUGAUUUGGGCUACACACGUGCUACAAUGGACAAUACAAAGGGCAGCGAAACCGCGAGGUCAAGCAAAUCCCAUAAAGUUGUUCUCAGUUCGGAUUGUAGUCUGCAACUCGACUACAUGAAGCUGGAAUCGCUAGUAAUCGUAGAUCAGCAUGCUACGGUGAAUACGUUCCCGGGUCU